CUUCCAGAAUAACAGCACAAUAUCACAACCAGGAUGUGGCCAUUGACACAACCCCGGGAUGUCUCCUGCUGCCCUUUCGCAACCACACCUGCUACACUAGUGCCUGCCGUGUAUCCCCUCCAGGUUCCUAAUCCCUGACACUAAUCUGUUCUCUAUCUCUAGAAUGUUGUCAUUUCACGACUGUUAUAGAACUUGAAUUAUACAAUAUGUGAACUGUU
rnacentral:lncRNA from 10 species